CACAUUUCUCUACAUGAUGUUCCAUUUACACCAAUAUGUAGCCACCCACCUAUUUUUUCCUAUUUGAAUAUUCCAUUCUAUUCCUUUCUCACUUUGGCUACAUGUUUCAUGCAGAGUAGAUCUGCUCUAGACAGCAUGUUCAAACUACAUUUGUAACUAGAAAAUUCUUUCUUUCAGCAGGUGUUCGGGUGCUGUGGUUUGCUGAGGGUAACUUAACAAAUCCAUUACUUUUGUUGCCUGGAAGCAUCCCAAUGGAAGAAGUUGUGGCUAGUACUAUGUUGUAAAUUGCAACCAAAAGUUAGAAUCACAGAAUAACAAGUCUCUUGCCUUAAAUCUUAUUUUUAUCCAAAGUUCUGGAAUGAAUCAGCCCUAUUUGAAUGGAUUUGCCUGGCUGAGGUUUAUACUUUUGCAGUGAGGUAUUUUUGCACGUGCUUUUUCAAUCCAAGGAAAUUAUUUUAACCACAGUGAAGCUGUAUUGAAGAACAAAGUGUUGAUAGAAUGAUUAUCAAUGAAGUAUUUGUUCAGUGCCUGCCCUGUGCUCUCUUGCUGAUGGGGAUACCGUGAUGAACACCACAGGUGGAGAGCUGCCCUGCAGAGUUUACAGCCCAGUGGAGAAUCAGACUGGAAGACACUCCAUUGUAUAGGGUGAAGAAAUGCACAAAGAUGGGAACCCCACCUGGGUCUGGCUGUUCAUGUCCAUAGCCAUGAGAUGUCCAUCUGCCUGCCUCGGAGGAGUCCACAGAUGUACAGACUACACUGGCCUGCCAUAAUUACUUGGUAUUUCUAUCCACCAAGAUCAAAAGGGAGAUGUAUAUUAUCUAGUUCUCACUUCAGAAAAAACUAGCUGUUACAGUCACCCUUGCUAAAGCAGGAGGGACUCCCUCUCUACCUGAAAUUGUUUUGGGACAUUGAGACUGAUGAUGCCACAUUCCAUGAGAGUCUGAAAAGAUUUGUUACACCAUUGAGGUCUCAGUGGAGAUCAGGACCCUCCUCUCAAGCAGACUGGAAUGGCUGGAGAGAGAGACAGAGAGAGAGAGAGAGGGCUGGAGCCCAGACUGAGUUUUUAUUGUUAGGGGUUGAGCCUGGGGGAAGGUUCUAGAGCAUUUGUGUGGUUUGCAUCUCCCACAAGCACCAAAGAAGGGGCUUUGUUAUCAGCCUGUUCAGAUGUGGACACAAGGGGAAGAGGGAAAUGGGAGAGUCUUAAAAGCUGUCAGUCAUCAAAAAAGCAAAACUGGAGUCAGACUUCACAUUACAGGCACCAGUCCACUUCCCCAGCUGAAACAGAAACAAAGCUUUUCUUCCCCUUGAAUUUUGAAGCAAAUCACUUAUGGGAGAAAACCGUAGCCCCUACUUGUAAGCCUCAGGGAAUAUAGCCCAAGAUCCCCAGUGCAUACUGAAACCACCGAAAGUACCAAACCCUACAUGUUAUACUAUGUUUUUUCCUAUACAUAUUCAUGCCGUGAUAAAGUUUAAUUUAUAAUUGGGCCUAGUAAGAGCUCAACAGCAAUAACUAAUAGUAAAACAGAGCAAUUAUAACAAUAUACUCAA